AUGUGCAUGUGUAAUAUAAUUCACAACAACAAAAUAAUACUUUAUUUCUUCACUGAGCUCAACUAUUUUCUACAGAGUACAUCGAUCUUUUGCAUAGUCUACCUUUCCUCAGUUAUUGUGCCAGAGAACUAUUGGCAACACUAUACAUUUUACUCAACACCGUUGUCAUCAAUUUGUCCUACCGCAGAAAUCCCUGACAAUAUCAGCAAGCCAACGGGGAAGAGUGCCAAUGCUCCUUCAGAAUCUCCACGGCAUGAUCAACGGCAUAUAUUAUCAUCUUCUUCACCUGCGCCAAAUAGAAGGUAA
rnacentral:rRNA from 1 species